GAUGAACGCUGGCGGCGUGCCUAAUACAUGCAAGUCGAGCGAGUGGAUUAAGAGCUUGCUCUUAUGAAGUUAGCGGCGGACGGGUGAGUAACACGUGGGUAACCUGCCCAUAAGACUGGGAUAACUCCGGGAAACCGGGGCUAAUACCGGAUAACAUUUUGAACCGCAUGGUUCGAAAUCGAAAGGCGGCUUCGGCUGUCACUUAUGGAUGGACCCGCGUCGCAUUAGCUAGUUGGUGAGGUAACGGCUCACCAAGGCAACGAUGCGUAGCCGACCUGAGAGGGUGGUCGGCCACACUGGGACUGAGACACGGCCCAGACUCCUACGGGAGGCAGCAGUAGGGAAUCUUCCGCAAUGGACGAAAGUCUGACGGAGCAACGCCGCGUGAGUGAUGAAGGCUUUCGGGUCGUAAAACUCUGUUGUUAGGGAAGAACAAGUGCUAGUUGAAUAAGCUGGCACCUUGACGGUACCUAACCAGAAAGCCACGGCUAACUACGUGCCAGCAGCCGCGGUAA
rnacentral:rRNA from 1 species